UACAGAGGGGGCAAGCGUUGUUCGGAAUUACUGGGCGUAAAGCGCACGUAGGCGGCUUUGUAAGUUAGAGGUGAAAGCCCGGAGCUCAACUCCGGAACUGCCUUUAAGACUGCAUCGCUUGAACGUUGGAGAGGUAAGUGGAAUUCCGAGUGUAGAGGUGAAAUUCGUAGAUAUUCGGAAGAACACCAGUGGCGAAGGCGACUUACUGGACAAGCUGUUGACGC
rnacentral:rRNA from 1 species